rnacentral:rRNA from 1 species
GAUGAACGCUGGCGGCGUGCCUAAUACGUGCAAGUCGAGCGAACAGACGAGGAGCCUGCUCCUCUGACGUUAGCGGCGGACGGGUGAGUAACACGUGGAUAACCUACCUAUAAGACUGGGAUAACUUCGGGAAACCGGAGCUAAUACCGGAUAAUAUAUUGAACCGCAUGGUUCAAUAGUGAAAGACGGUUUUGCUGUCACUUAUAGAUGGAUCCGCGCCGCAUUAGCUAGUUGGUAAGGUAACGGCUUACCAAGGCGACGAUGCGUAGCCGACCUGAGAGGGUGAUCGGCCACACUGGAACUGAGACACGGUCCAGACUCCUACGGGAGGCAGCAGUAGGGAAUCUUCCGCAAUGGGCGAAAGCCUGACGGAGCAACGCCGCGUGAGUGAUGAAGGUCUUCGGAUCGUAAAACUCUGUUAUUAGGGAAGAACAAAUGUGUAAGUAACUAUGCACGUCUUGACGGUACCUAAUCAGAAAGCCACGGCUAACUACGUG